GCUGGUCUGUCUCUCUUAUGUGCUUGAAAUCCUCUGUCAUAAAAAAGCGUCGAGGCUGCUGUCAGAGACGGUGGUGGAAUUCCAUGCUUCGUUCCCCUGCACUAGAAUCCAGCCACCCAGAGCUUCCCUCACCAUGUCAAGCUCUCAUUCAAGUGGCUGUCUAUGACCAUCUGUCGCAGGUGACAGGAAGAGCCACAUCUGCUCCUGCCACGCCCCCAUCUGGAAAGGUGCACAGCAGUUCACAGGUGGCGUGGAGCCUUGCUGUCCCUCCACUCCUGGGAGUCACAUUAUGAAGAACCAGUCAGACGAGACCGCCACAGCCUAGGCACCGGUCAGACUGGAGGGGCCCACCCUAAUCACCACAAGUGAAUCGCUUCCAUGAGAUCCAUCUCAGAAGACCGUUGUCCUCGGUACCCACAGCGAUAGGCUCCUGCACUGCCUCGGAACCAGACUCCACAAAUGCUCAAAUUCCUUAUGUAAAAUGCCUUGGUGUUUGCUUAUAAUU